UACGGGGGGAGCAAGCGUUGUUCGGAUUUACUGGGCGUAAAGGGCGCGUAGGCGGCCACUGCAAGUCGGUUGUGAAAUCUCCGGGCUUAACCCGGAAAGGUCAACCGAUACUGCAGGGCUAGAGUGCAGAAGGGGCAACUGGAAUUCUCGGUGGAGCGGUGAAAUGCGUAGAUAUCGCUUGGAACGCCAAAGGUGAAAACAGGUUGCUGGGGAUGCGCUGACACUGAGACGCGAAAGCCAGGGGAGCGAACGGG
rnacentral:rRNA from 1 species